rnacentral:rRNA from 1 species
AUUGAGCGCUGGCGGCAUGCUUUACACAUGCAAGUCGAACGGUAACAGCACUUCGGUGGCUGACGAGUGGCGAACGGGUGAGUAAUACAUCGGAACGUGCCUAGUAGUGGGGGAUAACUACUCGAAAGAGUAGCUAAUACCGCAUGAGAUCUAAGGAUGAAAGCAGGGGACCUUCGGGCCUUGCGCUACUAGAGCGGCUGAUGGCAGAUUAGGUAGUUGGUGGGAUAAAAGCUUACCAAGCCGACGAUCUGUAGCUGGUCUGAGAGGACGACCAGCCACACUGGGACUGAGACACGGCCCAGACUCCUACGGGAGGCAGCAGUGGGGAAUUUUGGACAAUGGGCGCAAGCCUGAUCCAGCAAUGCCGCGUGCAGGAUGAAGGCCUUCGGGUUGUAAACUGCUUUUGUACGGAACGAAAAGCCCUCUUCUAAUACAGGAGGGUCAUGACGGUACCGUAAGAAUAAGCACCGGCUAACUACGUG